CCCUGGGUUAGUCGGGACCUAAGCUGAGGCCGAAAGGCGUAGGUGAUGGACAACAGGUUGAUAUUCCUGUACUACCGAUAACCGUUUGAGAGAAGGGAUGACACAGUAGGAUAAGCUAAGCACACUGGUGGUUAUGUGUGCCCAAGCAUUGAGGCAGUCAAAGUAGGCAAAUCCGCGUUGAUAAUGCUGGGAUGUGAUGGGGAGCGAAAUUUAGUAGCGAAGUAGCUGAUUUCACACUGUCAAGAAAAGUCUCUAUCGAGGUUAAAGGUACCCGUACCGCAAACCGACACAGGUGGGUGAGGAGAGUAUCCUAAGGCCA
rnacentral:rRNA from 1 species